UUUUUUUUUUUUUUGGUUGUGUGUUUUUGGGGAUGGGGGUGGACUUGAGAGUCAUAACAAAGUGCAGACUUCUUUUUUAAUUAAUUUCUUUGGGUUUCCUAUUCCUUUAUGGAUGUCCUCUUCCAAUCGACCCCCCACUAUGAUUUCAAACACAGGUAAUAUUGUACAACUGAAUGAAAUAAAAAAAAAAAAGGAGAAAAACCCAUGAACAACAGUCACCAAAAAUUGUCAUUUUGCUGAAGAAACAAGGACUCAAGAAAAUUUAUUUUUUUUAACCCAUGGGGCUUUCAAAACUGUUUCCAAACUUCUGAGGCAGCAAGUAACCUGGCAUCAUUUGGAAUUCCAGUUGAUUCUAGGAGGUGGAAGUAGAAAGGUGUAUGAAUGUGAAAAGCACACAAAUUUUUUUUAUCCUCAGAACACUUCCUUAGUGAUGAAUUAUGGUCCAGGCCAGUCUGUAAGUUAUAUGAGCCAGUUUGCUGAUCCCUAGAUAUGAGACUCCAGGGAGAUAAAGCCAGACUCCAAAACAAUCAUUCAAAAAUCCAGUCAGAAGAAGGAUGAAUAUGAUACUUUUGGGGAUGGUGGCCUGUGGUGGGAAGAAAAGGAAUUUUAAAUGGGAAAUUACUCAGAAGACCAUAAAAAUGAGAAAAGCAAAAAUUAAAAAAAAAAUGACAACUCUUUGUAUUAUGGAAUUUUUUUUUCUGCUGUGAGACUUGACAAAAUAAAAAGGUAUCUGUCUUUUUAGCUCAUUCUUUCCUGAAUUUCAGAUGUCUCUGCCACAGUGUGGCAGAUCUAAAUGCAUGUGCUUCCUGCUUGUCACAAAGAUCCUCGCUGCACUUGACAGUAGCAGUGUCACCAAAGAUCUAUGUUAAAGGCUUGCUUCAGUAGUUCACCAAACACAUACAGAUUUGGUGAAAAAUAAGCAUAUUUUGGUAGAAAAACAGGAAGAGUCACCGAAGAUCUCUGUGGGGCUGCAUCAAAUAAACCUACAGAUUUCCUUCAUGACCUUAAGUUCAUUAAUUUAAGGGUUACAAAUAUACCAUAUUUUUUACGCAUAUUUUGGCCAAAUAACAGCUGGGUGUGGAUUAAAGUGACCAUUCAUGUAUUUGGUCAUUUUCACAUGCAGUUAAUUAAAUUAAGAAGUGUUUUCAGCAAUAUGCCUGCAUUGUACAUGCACAUUUCUGCACUGAAAACAUCUGAAAAUUUUGCCUAUGACCUCUUUGCCAAUAUUUCUAUUGGGAAUGUGGUGAAAUUGUUCCUUCAGUAAACACCCACUGAUACUGUAAAGCUAAAUGAAUUCUUUUGGAAAGCACACUAAAAUCCUUGGAAGGAGAGCAUAAUUUAAGUAUAAAGUAUUUUUUAUAUAGGCUGAGUCACAUUCCUCUAUCUUAUGUGUAUAGCUGAAAGAGUUGUUUAAUAUCAGUCUUAAUUAGGAAAAGCACACAAAAUGUUUUAUGUGCUGUAUGGUAUGAGCAUCACCAAUACAACAGCACUGGUGCUUGAGGUCCCAUGUGCUGAGUGCUUUCAUAGGAAAAUUCCUCAAAAAUGGGAAGAGAACUGGAACACAGGUUUAUUUAUGAAUGUGUACAUCUGCUGCAAGUACCUUGAACAUUAAUUACGUAGAUUUUUCUCACAGGGAAGAGGGAUGUGAAAUAUGGGAAUUUUUUGUUUUUCUGUUUGUUUGUUUGUUUGUUUAAAUCAAUGAUUUUUAUUAUCAAAAGGUACCAAUUAGGAAAGCAUCUGAUGUAGGACAGUGGGCUUAAAGGAGCAGCCAGAUAUCUUCUCCCUGUAACUCCUGAAGCAUACUAUUAUUGCAAUAGCCACAGCAUCACUUGAGCUUCAUCUCUUUGAGCAGUAACCAUGGACUAGCAUAGCAAAUGAGCUGUGAUUUAGUGGGUUCCGGUGUGUCAGAGAGAUUGUCUCCUCAAAGUAAAGCUGAAAAUGGGAAUGGGAUUUUGAUCUGUUAAGGGGAGAGGUGAGUUGGGAAGUCAACAUCUGUUGAACUCUUGCUGAAAAUUUCAGAUGUGUAUAUUUGGGGAACUAAAUCCAUCCCUUGCAUCUUGGCUGAACAUUGAGGCCUGUGCUCAGUUCUGGGCACCUCACUACAAGAAAGACAUUGAGGUGUGGGACCAUGUCCAGAGAAGGGCAACGAAGCUGGAGAAGGGUCUGGAGCAAAAGCAGCAGAGGGAGCUGGGAGGGUUUAGCCUGGAGAAAAGAAGGCUCAGGAUAGAGCUUCUCACUCUCCACAGCUACUUGAAAGGAGUGGCAAGGUGUGGGUUGAUCUCUUCUCCCAGGUAAGGAGCAACAAGAUCAGAGGAAAUUGUCGCCCUGAUUUUUUCAGAUUUUCUAAAGCCUUCUGAGUUUACAUUCUUGUAGCAAACUUUCUCACACACUUUCUGUAAAUAACUUAUUAUUCUUACAUUCCUUCAUAGAGGCAGAGAAAUUUGAUAGACUAGUAGUUUGUCCAGGGUCGUUGGAGAGGUGGCACUUUCACCUCCAAUCCACUGUCACCUUUAGAAAACUAUAAAUGCAAAAGUCAGAAAAUAAACUUACCUUUUUUACCUUCACAAUAACAGUGGCAUACAUCAUGUUUUCUCAUGUCCUAUAGUGACAGGAAAUGGCUUCAAACUGUGCCAAGGGAGAUUUGGACUGGAUAUCAGAAAAAAAUUCUUCACUGAAAGGAAUGGCAGGCAUUUUAAUAGGUUGCCCAGAGAAGUGGUGGAAUCACCAUCCCUAUAAGUGUUAAAAAGAUGUUGAUGUGACACUUUGGGACACACUUUAGCAUUGAACCUCAGGGGUUAGCAAUUGGACCCAAUGAUCUUAUGGGUUUUUUCCAACAUUAACAGCUCUAUGAUUCUAUGUUCCCUAUAAGCCUGACUUAAAAAAAAAAAA
ensembl:lncRNA